GCUCAGGACGAACGCUGGCGGCGUGCCUAAUACAUGCAAGUCGAACGCUUCUUUUUCCACCGGAGCUUGCUCCACCGGAAAAAGAGGAGUGGCGAACGGGUGAGUAACACGUGGGUAACCUGCCCAUCAGAAGGGGAUAACACUUGGAAACAGGUGCUAAUACCGUAUAACAAUCGAAACCGCAUGGUUUUGAUUUGAAAGGCGCUUUCGGGUGUCGCUGAUGGAUGGACCCGCGGUGCAUUAGCUAGUUGGUGAGGUAACGGCUCACCAAGGCCACGAUGCAUAGCCGACCUGAGAGGGUGAUCGGCCACAUUGGGACUGAGACACGGCCCAAACUCCUACGGGAGGCAGCAGUAGGGAAUCUUCGGCAAUGGACGAAAGUCUGACCGAGCAACGCCGCGUGAGUGAAGAAGGUUUUCGGAUCGUAAAACUCUGUUGUUAGAGAAGAACAAGGAUGAGAGUAACUGUUCAUCCCUUGACGGUAUCUAACCAGAAAGCCACGGCUAACUACGUGCCAGCAGCCGCGGUAAUACGUAGGUGGCAAGCGUUGUCCGGAUUUAUUGGGCGUAAAGCGAGCGCAGGCGGUUUCUUAAGUCUGAUGUGAAAGCCCCCGGCUCAACCGGGGAGGGUCAUUGGAAACUGGGAGACUUGAGUGCAGAAGAGGAGAGUGGAAUUCCAUGUGUAGCGGUGAAAUGCGUAGAUAUAUGGAGGAACACCAGUGGCGAAGGCGGCUCUCUGGUCUGUAACUGACGCUGAGGCUCGAAAGCGUGGGGAGCAAACAGGAUUAGAUACCCUGGUAGUCCACGCCGUAAACGAUGAGUGCUAAGUGUUGGAGGGUUUCCGCCCUUCAGUGCUGCAGCUAACGCAUUAAGCACUCCGCCUGGGGAGUACGACCGCAAGGUUGAAACUCAAAGGAAUUGACGGGGGCCCGCACAAGCGGUGGAGCAUGUGGUUUAAUUCGAAGCAACGCGAAGAACCUUACCAGGUCUUGACAUCCUUUGACCACUCUAGAGAUAGAGCUUCCCCUUCGGGGGCAAAGUGACAGGUGGUGCAUGGUUGUCGUCAGCUCGUGUCGUGAGAUGUUGGGUUAAGUCCCGCAACGAGCGCAACCCUUAUUGUUAGUUGCCAUCAUUCAGUUGGGCACUCUAGCAAGACUGCCGGUGACAAACCGGAGGAAGGUGGGGAUGACGUCAAAUCAUCAUGCCCCUUAUGACCUGGGCUACACACGUGCUACAAUGGGAAGUACAACGAGUCGCGAAGUCGCGAGGCUAAGCUAAUCUCUUAAAGCUUCUCUCGGUUCGGAUUGCAGGCUGCAACUCGCCUGCAUGAAGCCGGAAUCGCUAGUAAUCGCGGAUCAGCACGCCGCGGUGAAUACGUUCCCGGGCCUUGUACACACCGCCCGUCACACCACGAGAGUUUGUAACACCCGAAGUCGGUGAGGUAACCUUUUGGAGCCAGCCGCCUAGGGUGGGAU
rnacentral:rRNA from 1 species